rnacentral:lncRNA from 1 species
GCCCUGAGAGGCGGUGAGGCUGUGCAGUCCGGGUUCUGCUGAGCUUUCUCCCCACUUCCUUUUCGCUGCCCAGUUUUCCUGUCCUUGAUGUCCCGGGCCUGGCGUGUCUUGGACGGAAACUCGGCAUCUUCUGUUUACUGCUGGCAUCCACGAAACAGUAACAGGCCCCAGACUCUUCACAGAUCCUGAAACCACUCACCUGCCUAAGACUGACAACGUUGGCACAAUUUCGACCUCCCUGUGCCUUUCUUCCCGGGGAAGGAAGCUGAGAGGGGAUGAAUCAAGUAACAUAAUAAACUUCUGAGAAGAAAAGAAGCUUCAUAUCAAGACUUGGAAAGAAGUGCAAAUCUCUUAGUGAAGAAACUGCCAAGAAAAUUACUGCUCACCUAGCUCAAAGAGAAACAUUAAUUAAAGGCAGGUUACCAGGCCAGGGGUUGAAUUGAAGCCACAGCUGCUAGCCUUCGCCACAGCCACAGCAACACAGGAUCCAAGCUGCAUCCGUGAGCUACACCACAGCCCACAGCAACACCAGAACCCCAACCCACUGAGCGAGGCCAGGGAUGGAACCUCAAAGUCAUGGUCACUAGUCCAAUUCAUUUCUGCUGUGCCACAAUGGGAACUCCUCCUUUGGUAUUGUUAACAUUUGGACCUUUCACUCACGUGUGCUCUGAUCUUCACAAAAGGGCUUUAGGAUAUUAAUUAGUCUAGAAACAAAUGUAUCCUUAUCUGGUGUUGAUCACCAUUAUACAGUUACUAAACUAAAAGUGCAUCAAAUAUUAAAAAUCAGUUAAGUUACAGAAAACAUAAUGAAUGAUCCGAAAAGACUGCAUGCCAUCUAGAGAAAGAAAAAAUUUCUGCUUUGAUUAUUUUAUGGAUAUAUCUUUUGUAAUUCAUUUAACCUGGCAACUUAACAUUUUUGCACCUGUCUAUUGCAUUUCAUAGUAUAAAUUUCCAUAGCUAUUAUCUUUUAGUUUCUUACACGUUGUUCUCCAUAUAGCAACAAAUUGUAAGUGUUGUGCUUGUUGGAAGCUAGAUGUGGUGUGUAUUGAGAACUAUAUAUAGAGGUGGCCCUCAAGUACUUAGAAGUAAAGGAAAUAGAAUGCCUUGUGAGACAAACAGUAAACUGAGCAUAACUACCCUAUCUUUGAUGGGAAAAUUCUCCUGCAAAAGAUAUAACUUUCUGUGCCUUCAGAACUUUAAAAUAUGGAUGAUGUUUAUAUA